CCGGUGCCGACGCGGCCCCGGGACGCCGCUGCCCCCUCGGCGGCCAGGAUGCAGCCGGGGCAUGGCCGCCGGGCCCCCGUCACCUGCUUCGGGGAGCGCUGAGCCUGGAACUCAGAGAUGCCAGGAGACCCCGGGAUUCCUGAAGAAUCUCAGAUCCCUGAUGCCACCAGACCAUCAGUCCAGAAGUGCUUGCAGCUGGCUCCCCGAGGCAGCAGCAGAUGGAGCAAGUGUUGCUGAUGGAUUAAAGAGAAAUCUGGUGUGUCCCCAGAAGAACCGAAAACAGGGUCUCAGAGAUGUUCGCGCACCCAUGUCCACAGCAGCAUGACUCACAACAGCCCGAGGUGGAGAUGACCCAAGUGUCUGCCAAUGAAUGAAUGGGUGAACAAGAUGUGGUAGAAUUCAGCCAGGGAAAGGAAUGAAAUUUUGGCAACUGUGACAAUGUGGACGAACCUCGAAAACGUGGUGAAAGGAGCCAGGUACAAACGGACAAAUACUGGAUUCCGUUUAUGUGAAGUGCCCGGAAGAGGCAGAUCCAGAGACACAGAGAGGAGAUGGGCGGGGGUCCGGGGCUGGGGGACGGGCACGGGAGUUGUUGCUCGAUGGGGACAGAGGUGCUGUUUGUUUAUGUUCCACCUUUUUUACACAAUAAAAAACAUUUCAAGAAAAAGAAAUGCACCAUGACGCAAUGAGGUUUCCUGGCUGUCCCCAGGAGCCAGUGUGUGGCCAGGGCAGCUGAGGAGAAGCCCCUGUCACCCCUGGGCCAGCCCCGCCCUGUGUCUGAGGUUCUGGGACGCAGGACGCACUCAUGCACUCAGCCACCUCCCGGGAAGCAGGACUGGGGGGCCUGGCUGGCUUGCUCUUGGUGGUGGUUGACGAGCGGGGUGCAGGGGACCAUCACUUUCGG
rnacentral:lncRNA from 1 species